GAUGAACGCUGGCGGCGUGCCUAAUACAUGCAAGUCGAGCGAACAGAUGAGGAGUUUGCUCCUCUGACGUUAGCGGCGGACGGGUGAGUAACACGUGGAUAACCUACUUAUAAGACUGGGAUAACUUCGGGAAACCGGAGCUAAUACCGGAUAAUAUAUUGAACCGUAUGGUUUGAUAGUGAAAGACGGUUUUUCUGUUACUUAUAGAUGGUUCCGCGCUGCAUUAGCUAGUUGGUAAGGUAACGGCUUACCAAGGCAACGAUGCUUAGCCGACGUGAGGGGGGGUACGCCGACUGUGGAAGUGAGACGCGACACAGACACCGACGUGAGGCAGAGGUAGGGACUGUACCGAAAAGGGCGGAAGAUUGACGGAGCAACGCAGCGUGAGUGAUGAAGGGCUUCGGAUCGUAAAACGCUGUUAUUAGGGAAGAACAAAUGUGUAAGUAACGAUGCGCGUCUGAAGGGAACCGAAGCAGAAGGCCACGGUAACCUUGGU
rnacentral:rRNA from 1 species